rnacentral:tRNA from 1 species
GGGGUUGUGGCUCAGGGGUAGAGUGCUCACUGGCACAUGUGAGGCUCUGGGUUUGAUUCUCAGAACCACA